GAUGAACGCUGGCGGCGUGCCUAAUACAUGCAAGUCGAACGAGGUGCUUUUGUAGCAAUACGAAAGUAUCCUAGUGGCGAACGGGUGAGUAACGCGUUGGUGACCUACCCCAAAGUGUGGGAUAACAGUUCGAAAGAACUGCUAAUACCGCAUGUGGUUAUCGGGUUUAGAAACUGAUAACUAAAGGAGCAAUUCGCUUUGGGAGGGACCUGCGUCCCAUCAGCUAGUUGGUGAGGUAACGGCUCACCAAGGCUACGACGGGUAGGGGACCUGAGAGGGUGGCCCCCCACAAUGGAACUGAAACACGGUCCAUACACCUACGGGUGGCAGCAGUAGGGAAUAUUGCACAAUGGGCGAAAGCCUGAUGCAGCAACGCCGCGUGUGCGAUGCAGGCCUUCGGGUCGUAAAGCACUUUCUAAGAGAUGAGAAAGGACAGUAUCUUAGGAAUAAGUCUCGGCUAACUACGUGCCAGC
rnacentral:rRNA from 1 species